UACAGAGGUCUCAAGCGUUGUUCGGAUUCAUUGGGCGUAAAGGGUGCGUAGGCGGCGCGGUAAGUCGGGUGUGAAAUUUCGAGGCUUAACUUCGAAACUGCAUUCGAUACUGCCGUGCUAGAGGACUGGAGAGGAGACUGGAAUUUACGGUGUAGCGGUGAAAUGCGUAGAUACAAUCAAGAACACCGAUUGCGUAGGCAGCUAACUAGGCUGUAACUGACGCUGAGGCACGAAAGCGUGGGGAGCGAACAGG
rnacentral:rRNA from 1 species